rnacentral:rRNA from 1 species
AAUGGUAUCAGUGGUAGGGGAGCGUUCUAAGGACAGUGAAGUCAGACCGGAAGGACUGGUGGAGUGCUUAGAAGUGAGAAUGCCGGUAUGAGUAGCGAAAGACGGGUGAGAAUCCCGUCCACCGAAUGCCUAAGGUUUCCUGAGGAAGGCUCGUCCGCUCAGGGUUAGUCAGGACCUAAGCCGAGGCCGACAGGCGUAGGCGAUGGACAACAGGUUGAUAUUCCUGUACCACCUCUUUAUCGUUUGAGCAAUGGAGGGACGCAGAAGGAUAGAAGAAGCGUGCGAUUGGUUGUGCACGUCCAAGCAGUUAGGCUGAUAAGUAGGCAAAUCCGCUUAUCGUGAAGGCUGAGCUGUGAUGGGGAAGCUCCUUAUGGAGCGAAGUCUUUGAUUCCCCGCUGCCAAGAAAAGCUUCUAGCGAGAUAAAAGGUGCCUGUACCGCAAACCGACACAGGUAGGCGAGGAGAGAAUCCUAAGGUGUGCGAGAGAACUCUGGUUAAGGAACUCGGCAAAAUGACCCCGUAACUUCGGGAGAAGGGGUGCUUUCUUAACGGAAAGCCGCAGUGAAUAGGCCCAAGCGACUGUUUAGCAAAAACACAGCUCUCUGCGAAGCCGUAAGGCGAAGUAUAGGGGGUGACACCUGCCCGGUGCUGGAAGGUUAAGGAGAGGGGUUAGCGUAAGCGAAGCUCUGAACUGAAGCCCCAGUAAACGGCGGCCGUAACUAUAACGGUCCUAAGGUAGCGAAAUUCCUUGUCGGGUAAGUUCCGACCCGCACGAAAGGUGUAACGAUUUGGGCACUGUCUCAACCAGAGACUCGGUGAAAUUAUAGUACCUGUGAAGAUGCAGGUUACCCGCGACAGGACGGAAAGACCCCGUGGAGCUUUACUGUAGCCUGAUAUUGAAUUUUGGUACAGUUUGUACAGGAUAGGCGGGAGCCUUUGAAACCGGAGCGCUAGCUUCGGUGGAGGCGCUGGUGGGAUACCGCCCUGACUGUAUUGAAAUUCUAACCUACGGGUCUUAUCGACCCGGGAGACAGUGUCAGGUGGGCAGUUUGACUGGGGCGGUCGCCUCCUAAAGUGUAACGGAGGCGCCCAAAGGUUCCCUCAGAAUGGUUGGAAAUCAUUCGUAGAGUGCAAAGGCAUAAGGGAGCUUGACUGCGAGACCUACAAGUCGAGCAGGGACGAAAGUCGGGCUUAGUGAUCCGGUGGUUCCGCAUGGAAGGGCCAUCGCUCAACGGAUAAAAGCUACCCCGGGGAUAACAGGCUUAUCUCCCCCAAGAGUCCACAUCGACGGGGAGGUUUGGCACCUCGAUGUCGGCUCAUCGCAUCCUGGGGCUGUAGUCGGUCCCAAGGGUUGGGCUGUUCGCCCAUUAAAGCGGUACGCGAGCUGGGUUCAGAACGUCGUGAGACAGUUCGGUCCCUAUCCGUCGUGGGCGUAGGAAAUUUGAGAGGAGCUGUCCUUAGUACGAGAGGACCGGGAUGGACGCACCGCUGGUGUACCAGUUGUUCUGCCAAGGGCAUAGCUGGGUAGCUAUGUGCGGAAGGGAUAAGUGCUGAAAGCAUCUAAGCAUGAAGCCCCCCUCAAGAUGAGAUUUCCCAUAGCGUAAGCUAGUAAGAUCCCUGAAAGAUGAUCAGGUUGAUAGGUUCGAGGUGGAAGCAUGGUGACAUGUGGAGCUGACGAAUACUAAUAGAUCGAGGACUUAACCAU